CCUACGGGAGGCAGCAGUAGGGAAUCUUCCACAAUGGGCGCAAGCCUGAUGGAGCAACACCGCGUGAGUGAAGAAGGGCUUCGGCUCGUAAAGCUCUGUUGUUGGAGAAGAACGUGCGUGAGAGUAACUGUUCAUGCAGUGACGGUAUCCAACCAGAAAGUCACGGCUAACUACGUGCCAGCAGCCGCGGUAAUACGGAGGUGGCAAGCGUUAUUCGGAUUUAUUGGGCGUAAAGCGAGCGCAGGCGGUUGGUUAGGUCUGAGGUGAAAGCCCUCGGCUUAACCGAGGAAGUGCAUCGGAAACUGGUCGACUGGAGUGCGGGAGAGGAAAGUGGAACUCGAGGUGUAGCGGUGGAAUGCGUAGAUAUAUGGAAGAACACCAGUGGCGAAGGCGGCUGUCUGGUCUGCAACUGACGCUGAGGCUCGAAAGCGUGGGUAGCGAACAGGAUUAGAUACCCCAGUAGUC
rnacentral:rRNA from 1 species